rnacentral:rRNA from 1 species
UACGAAGGGGGCUAGCGUUGUUCGGAUUUACUGGGCGUAAAGCGCACGUAGGCGGAUUGUUAAGUCGGGGGUGAAAUCCUGGAGCUCAACUCCAGAAUUGCCUUCGAUACUGGCUUUCUAGAGGCUGGAAGAGGUUAGUGGAAUUCCCAGUGUAGAGGUGAAAUUCGUAGAUAUUGGGAAGAACACCAGUGGCGAAGGCGGCUCACUGGCCCGGAACUGACGCUGAGGUGCGGAAAGCCGUGGGGAGCAAACAGGG